rnacentral:lncRNA from 1 species
UUUAUCCCACGGAUCAUGCGACUCUAUUCCAGAACAGGGGAAGACGCUGGGACGUUGGGGAGUUCAUGAGAUCAAGAUGGGAUUCUAUUCCGAAGAAGGGGUAAGGCUAUCACAGACGUGGACGACAGAGUCAAUCCGAACGACUGGCAUGCUGCGGGAUUGGUUUUGUGAGAGGAAAUCUGGGAUACAAGCUAGAUUUGCAUCUAUCUUGGCUGAGAACAUGUCCACUCGGCUGGGAAUGAAUCCAGAUGAAGACGUGGCUUUGGUUGUUUCGGAUAAGGAAAUCAUCCUUGGGUCUCGGCUCUGUUCCGGUUGUGGAGAAUGUGAUCCGAUUGGGAACAGGGGAUGCUGGGAUUAAGGAUGAUGCGGACGGUAAAGGAUGGUUGCUGAGAUAUUGGGAUAAGGUUGAUUGCAACGGGAUGAAGCUUGGAGUUGGUUCUGUGAUGAAGAAAUGAUGGGAAGAUGACACGGACGGGAGAAGAUAUGGCUUUCGGCUGGGAAUAGGUUCAUGUGGCUGGAGUGUUAUUUUUUAUUUUUGAAUGGGGAAGGGACUUGGUUUGGAAGGAAUAAGGGAGUCGGUUGUUGAGCCCAAUGUUGAAAGAAAUAAGGAAGUUGGGAGAGUAAUGAAACGGAUCUGUGAGCUAAGAUAUUGGGAGAUCAACAUGGGACAGCUGGGAUCAAACUUGGAGCAUUAAUCGCUAAGCACUUAGAGGGUGAUGUGGACACAGGUUCAGCUGCAAACGCGACCUGCACACAUUAGUUCAAACAUCAUCCCAAUUAAUUCGACUUGACCUGCACACAUUAGACUUAAUCAUUAAAUAAUUAAAUCAACUCGAAUCACCUCUUAUAAUUUUUAAAAUGCAAUGAUGAUGGUAACAAAUAUUUAAUGGUUAAAUUUACGAAAUAUGCAAAUUAAAAUAAUGAUAAGUGCUAUGAAUAAAAGGUUAAUUUAUGCAUUAUUUAGCACUUAUCACACCCCCCAACCUACAUUUUGUUAGUCCUCGAGCAAAAUAAAAAAAAACUAACUCACUUUCGCAGGAAUCGCGAUUGCAUUUACCGUAUGCAAUAAGGCUUUAAACCCCUAGGUGGCCCUAGUAGACGAGUUUUGUCUCGUGAGGAUUUCCGGCUCAGAUACCCACAAACUGUUGUCUCUACCUAAUGAAUUUGUUUUAUUGCUUUAUAAAAUCUAAUUUUAAAUGCAUAAGUGCCAAGAAUUUUAAAAGCACACAAAGUUUUAAUUACUAAGUCAGCCCAAACCUAAAUCAGUAUGCAAUUUAAGUUGAAGUCAUUAAGUUUCUGUUAGAGAGUUGUAAGACUAAUUUAUACUUAGGUGCUCGGUGAUAUCUGGACCAUACACAAGCUAAGAUUUUAGAUCCCCAAAAUACUGCUAAAGCUAGUAAUUUUCAAGAAUUGGUCAGAUAAGACCUAAUCACUGAUUCAAAAUCAUCCUAUCUUGCAGGAUUUCGAGAGUUGUGGAUGUUUACUUUAAUAUCUCAUGGGCUUUAUCUGUAAUAUUCCAGUUUACUCGAAUUUUUACAACGACGGCUUUCACACUAUCGUCUUUUUCAAGGUCAAUAUUAUAUUUUUUUUCUCUUUUUUU